GUGCGCGGGUCGUGCACGGGGGUGGAGCCGGGGUUUUAAGGGGUUAGGCGGGUCGGGGGCCAGAGGCGUCGAGGAGGCGUGGCGGUUUAGGAGGAGGUUAAGGCGGCUAGGCCAGCCGUGGAGCAGCCUUGGCGGGCGGGGCGCGUGGAGGCUAGGGGCGGCGGCCACCAACGGGCGCUCCGCUCCGCUCAGCCGCCGGCCAGUUGGCGGGGGGCGCGGCAGCGGCCGAGAUGGUUCCUCUUCUAGGAAUACUCAACCAACCGACACUUAAGUAUAUUUAAGACCAUGACACUUUUACCCAGUUUUCCACCGUCCUUCAAGCACUGCUCUAAUUGGUAUCUGCUAACUCCAGACUCACCUAAAUCCUUCUAGUCUAUGUCACUUUUCCCUCGCGUCAGCACUACCUGUCUCGACCUCCGUUGGUUCGUCCGGUUCACAGCUUCUUUCCUUUCUUCUUCGUACGCUUUCUGCUCAGUCUGGCCGUCUUCGUCCGACUCUUCUUCUCCGCGGCCGACCUCUUUCGUGAGCGUUUGAGGCGUCGCUAGUAAAGUCUCGACCUUUUCUUCGCCGUCGUCUUUGUCCUCCUCGUCUCCUCCGACCUACUGCUUCCCCGACGCUAUCGGCUCCGACAGCGGGAAGUACAGGAGUAUCCGCUUCUAACGCUACUUGGGGCGGUCGAUUACACCUUGCCGGUAUCUCCGGCGCCGGUAGCCCCACUAAAACACCUAGUGCUCGGCCGAGGUCCGCGCGUUCCUCGUCCUCCUCUGCGGAUAGGUAUACCUUCGGCCAGUGGCGACCGUGCCCGGAGAGCAGGGGUGUACGGGGUCACCUCCGACUGGCUGACACCGUACAGGCCCGGCAAGAGCAAGAGUAGCACCCUCGCUUACCCGCUAAAACUCCCCGAUAUGACGCUUCCCUGUGGGACAGUCUGUCUGGUUCUGUGAAUGACGGUGCCGGAGCAUCGUCGUUGGGUCCGGCGGAGAGGUAAGCCUAUGCCAAGCCUCCUAGGUAAGGGACGGGUACCUUGCCUCCCACGAAGGAGGUAGUUGUAGUACGACCCGCCGCCGUGGUCGUUGUCGGACUUGUAGAUGUCCUCUGUUAAGAUCUAGUAUCAAUGAAAGAAAAAAUGUGGUUUCCAGCUAGAAAAGUAAACGACACUAUGAAUCGAAACGCAGCUCUUUGGCUUUCACCUAUAUCCCUAUAUAUCCUCUCGGCAGAAUGACAGCUCAGCUUCUUCUUCGCCACACAUAAACCGCAGUCAAUGUCUUUCACACAAAAACACUACUUAAUAAUUAUAUACAAAAACGAAAAUGGACUCCAACUACACAUACACAAACGUGGUCUACCUCUACUCUAAACCAACACC
rnacentral:rRNA from 1 species